CCUACGGGAGGCAGCAGUAGGGAAUAUUGCUCAAUGGGGGAAACCCUGAAGCAGCAACGCCGCGUGGAGGAUGAAGGUUUUCGGAUUGUAAACUCCUUUUGUUAGAGGAGAUAAUGACGGUAUCUAACGAAUAAGCACCGGCUAACUCCGUGCCAGCAGCCGCGGUAAUACGGAGGGUGCAAGCGUUACUCGGAAUCACUGGGCGUAAAGCGCGCGUAGGCGGGAUAGCAAGGCAGAUGUGAAAUCCUAUGGCUUAACCAUAGAACUGCAUUUGAAACUGUUAUUCUAGAGUAUGGGAGAGGUAGGUGGAAUUCGUGGUGUAGGGGUAAAAUCCGUAGAGAUCAAGAGGAAUACUCAUUGCGAAGGCGACCUGCUAGAACAUAACUGACGCUGAUGCGCGAAAGCGUGGGGAGCAAACAGGAUUAGAUACCCUUGUAGUC
rnacentral:rRNA from 1 species